GAUGAACGCUGGCGGCGUGCUUAACACAUGCAAGUCGAACGAAUUAUUCUAGAGGAAGUUUUCGGAUGGAAUCUAGGAUAGUUAGUGGCGGACGGGUGAGUAACGCGUGGGAAACCUGCCCUAUACAGGGGGAUAGCCUCGGGAAACCGGGAUUAAUACCCCAUGAAACUUGAGUCUCGCAUGAGACAUAAGUCAAAGAUUUAUCGGUAUAGGAUGGUCCCGCGUCUGAUUAGCUAGUUGGUGUAGGUAACGGCUCACCAAGGCGACGAUCAGUAGCCGGCCUGAGAGGGUGAACGGCCACACUGGAACUGAGACACGGUCCAGACUCCUACGGGAGGCAGCAGUGGGGGAAUAUUGCACAAUGGGGGAAACCCUGAUGCAGCGACGCCGCGUGAGCGAAGAAGG
rnacentral:rRNA from 1 species